UACGUAGGGACCAAGCGUUGUCCGGAAUCAUUGGGCGUAAAGAGCGUGUAGGCGGCUUGUUAAGUCUUGCGUGAAAUCUCGGGGCUCAACCCCGAGCGGUCGUGAGAAACUGGCAGGCUAGAGUGCGGGAGAGGAGAGUGGAAUUCCUGGUGUAGCGGUGAAAUGCGCAGAUAUCAGGAGGAACACCGAUGGCGAAGGCAGGUCUCUGGGCCGAUACUGACGCUGAGGAGCGAAAGCGUGGGGAGCGAACAGG
rnacentral:rRNA from 1 species